UCCCUGGUGGCUCAGAGGGUAAAGCGUCUGCCUGCAAUGCAGGAAACCUGGGUUUGAUUCCUGGGUUGGGAA
rnacentral:tRNA from 1 species